UCUCCGUUGGUGAACCAGCGGAGGGAUCAUUACAGAGUCUAGCGACUCCCAAACCACUGUUAACGCUACCCCGUCGUUGCCUCGGCGGGCCCCGCGCCCGCCGAAGGCUCCAAGACUAUACCUGUCUCUAGUGGCACUUCUGAGCAAACUUCCAAACAGUCAAAACUUUCAACAACGGAUCUCUUGGUUCUG
rnacentral:misc_RNA from 1 species